rnacentral:rRNA from 1 species
UGCUAAGCGGGGUGCCGCGUAUGGGAAGUUCGCAGAGUGGCUCACGGCUCGUUCAAGUACCUAUUGAACAUAGUCCAAGUACCCAUAGAGGGUGUAAGGCCCGUACGACGAGUCGUGAGUGUCUCCCGCGUUCUUCUCGAGAGUCGGGUUGCUUGAAAAUGCAGCCCUAAGAGGUGGUAAACUCCAUCUAAGGCUAAAUACUACCACGAGACCGAUAGCGAACAAGUACCGCGAGGGAAAGUUGAAAAGAACUUUGAAGAGAGAGUUCAAUAGAGCGUGAAACUGCCACGAGGUUAAAGCGGAUGGACAGUCGUGGCAGAACAGGGGGAUUCAGCUCCCCUAACGUCUGGAGGCCCUCGUGGACGUGACGACCGACUCUUCGGCUUCUCUCGGUACUCGUUACCAGGUUGCCGGGGAGGUUCCAAACUGGCGUCCGUUACGAGAGCGAGUCUCCGCGGUAACAAUAAGGGGGGCUGUACCUUUCACCUUAGUAAGCCGUCGCGGGCAUUGUGAGCGUUGUCGAUUACCCCUGAGUUCGGGAACCGACCCUUAAAGCCUCUCGUUCUUAUUAGCCUCCGGGCUGGUUUUAGCGGGUGUGUAAGUACGGGCCGGGGACUAUUCAGGGAAUACGACGGACCUCGCGAUGAUUCAGAUUGGAGACGGGUCGGUUGUGAAUUGAUCGGAGGUGGGACUUCGUUCGCGCUCCUCAGGGAGCCGGGCGUGUCCCACCUCAUUUUUUUUGACGUUCCGACCCGUACGCGGCGCAUAUUCGGCGCACGUCCAUCCGUCCCGUCUUGAAACACGGACCAAGGAGUCUAGCAAGGGCGCGAGUCAUAAGGGUUCACUAAACCUUAGAUGGCGCAACGAAAGUAAUGUAGAUACGGAUAUUACUUGUAGUAUCCGUAUCCAUGGGUUAAACUCAACUACCCCGUUGGACCGAUCCCCUCGGAAAUGCCUCGCCAGCCCCCGUCAAAAGGGGUUGUUAGCGAGGCCGCUGCCGAAUAAUGAGGGGCGCAGGUCCGGGGCCCGCCAUUAUUUUUUUAUCCUCUCUCUAUCUCGCAGUUCUUCUGCGUUGUAGAAGACGAAAGGCGGGUUCCAAGAGCGUUCGUGCUAGUACCCGAAAGAUGGUGAUCUAUGCCUGGCCAGGAUGAAGCCAGAGGAAACUCUGGUGGAGGUCCGUAGCGGUUCUGACGUGCAAAUCG